rnacentral:rRNA from 1 species
GAUGAACGCUGGCGGCGUGCUUAACACAUGCAAGUCGAACGGUGAAGCCCAGCUUGCUGGGUGGAUCAGUGGCGAACGGGUGAGUAACACGUGAGCAACCUGCCCCUGACUCUGGGAUAAGCGCUGGAAACGGCGUCUAUUACUGGAUAUGAGACACCUCCGCAUGGGGUGUGUUCGGAAAGAUUUUUCGGUUGGGGAUGGGCUCGCGGCCUAUCAGCUUGUUGGUGAGGUAAUGGCUCACCAAGGCGUCGACGGGUAGCCGGCCUGAGAGGGUGACCGGCCACACUGGGACUGAGGCACGGCCCAGAGUGCUACGGGAGGCAGCAGUGGGGAAUAUUGCACAAUGGGCGGAAGCCUGAUGCAGCAACCCCGCGUGAGGGAUGACGGCCUUCGGGUUGUAAACCUCUUUUAGCAAGGAAGAAGCGUGAGUGACGGUACUUGCAGAAAAAGCGCCGGCUAACUACGUGCCAGCAGCCGCAGUAA